rnacentral:rRNA from 1 species
AUCAACUUUCGAUGGUAGGAUAGAGGCCUACCAUGGUGGUAACGGGUGACGGAGAAUUAGGGUUCGAUUCCGGAGAGGGAGCCUGAGAAACGGCUACCACAUCCAAGGAAGGCAGCAGGCGCGCAAAUUACCCAAUCCCGACAUGGGGAGGUAGUGACAAUAAAUAACAAUACAGGGUUCUUUUGGAUCUUGUAAUUGGAAUGAGUACAAUUUAAAUCUCUUAACGAGGAACAAUUGGAGGGCAAGUCUGGUGCCAGCAGCCGCGGUAAUUCCAGCUCCAAUAGCGUAUAUUAAAGUUGUUGCAGUUAAAAAGCUCGUAGUUGAAUUUCGGGAUCAAGGAAUCGGUCAUGCCUCGGUAUGUACUGGUUUUAUUGGUUCUCACCUUCUAAAGAACCAUAAUGUCAUUCAUUUGAUGUUAUGGGGAAUUAGGACUGUUACCUUGAAAAAAUUAGAGUGUUUAAAGCAGGCUUACGCUUGAAUACAUUAGCAUGGAAUAAUGAAAUAGGACAUCAGAUUCUAUUUUGUUGGUUUCUAGGAUCGAUGUAAUGAUUAAUAGGGAUAGUUGGGGGCAUUAGUAUUCAAUUGUCAGAGGUGAAAUUCUUGGAUUUAUUGAAGACUAACUACUGCGAAAAGCAUUUGCCAAGGAUGUUUUUCAUUUAAUCAAGAAACGAAAGUUAGGGGGAUCGAAGACGAUCAGAUACCGUUCGUAGUCUUAAACUAUA